GACGAACGCUGGCGGCGUGCCUAACACAUGCAAGUCACGGGGGUAGCGAAUACCGAACCGGCGAACGGGUGCGUAACACGUGAGCAAUCUGCCGAUUUCUGGGGGAUAGCCGGUCCAACGACCGGGUAAUACCGCAUACGCUCUUCGAGGGACAUCCCUUGAAGAGGAAAGCCCCAGGCGGAAAUCGAGGAGCUCGCGGCCUAUCAGCUAGUUGGCGAGGUAACGGCUCACCAAGGCCGACGACGGGUAGCUGGUCUGAGAGGAUGGCCAGCCACAUUGGGACUGCGACACGGCCCAGACUCCUACGGGAGGCAGCAGUGGGGAAUAUUGCGCAAUGGACGAAAGUCUGACGCAGCGACGCCGCGUGUGGGAUGAAGCUUUUCGGAGUGUAAACCACUGUUGCUCGGGACGAACAUCCCUUUCGAGGGACUGACGGUACCGAGUGAGGAAGCACCGGCUAACUCUGUGCCAGCAGCCGC
rnacentral:rRNA from 1 species